UCACCUCAUUUUCCACACCGGAAAAACUUGCACCCAAUGUAUUGCGACAAGAAAGUUAGACUACAACAAUUGUUCACUUAAAAAUCAGAGUCUCUGCCUAAAAAGGGUAUCCAUUCAUUGAAUCUACGAGUGAUAUUGAAGACUUUGAUGAUGCCAUGAGACAAAAAGAUGUGGAGAGAAUGAUCUGAAGGAGGAGUCAUCUGGGGAUGCUGUUCUUACCGCCAAGAACGACAGAGUAGUAGGAUGGAGCAAUUUCUGGGAUGUUCUGGGCUUCAUGGAGGGAAAGAAGCAUGAGGAUCUCUUUUUUUCGAGAAAUAGGUAGGCAACAGCCACCUAAUUUUAUUGAAAAAACGUUUUACAAGCAUGAGGAUCUCUUUCAAGCUUUUGUGAUUCAUGCGACUUGUUAAAGGUACUCCAGAGGCUCAAGUUCAAUGUAAGGUAAUGUCUUGGGUGAAUGUUCUAUGCACAAAACGGAAGGCCAACUGGAGGUUUCUCUGUUUCGGAAUUCGGAUCAAAUGGAGUUCGGAUCAAUGGGAUGAUUCAGUUAUAUGAACCUCUGUUUCUUGAUGUAGAGGAGUAGCGUGGACCUGGCCAGGUUUCUUCUAAGCAAUUCAUCAGAAAAAAGAAAAAAAGGAAAGAAAGUUUUCUUCUAAGUAGUUGAAGUCCCUGCAGUGUGUUGGUUGGGUUAUCCAUCAUUUCUCUUUUCAUGGUAUAUAGAAUCAUUCAAUUUUUCUUUUUC